rnacentral:rRNA from 1 species
AAGUCGUAACAAGGUUUCCGUAGUGAACCUGCGGAAGGAUCAUUAUCGAAGUCGAACGCUAGGAGGGAAAGGGGAGCCCCGACUGUCGCCGGCCCUCGGGCGCGCGCACGUCGCUCAUCGGACCCUCCGAAGCUUCAACCUUCUCCACACCCGUGUGCACCCGCUGUAGGUCCUUCGGGAUCCUACGUCCUCUCUCUCGAACUCGCAUGUCUACAGAAUGUGUAUGUCGGUCGACGACCGUGAACCUUUGUACAACUUUCAGCAAUGGAUCUCUUGGCUCUCGCAUCGAUGAAGGACGCAGCGAAUCGCGAUAAGUAAUGUGAAUUGCAGAUUUUCCGUGAAUCAUCGAAUCUUUGAACGCACCUUGCGCUCCCCGGUAUUCCGGGAGCAUGCCUGUUUGAGUGUCAUCGAAAUCUCGAACCGACGCCUUCGAUCCGCUCGAAGCUCGGUCUCGGAACGUGGGGGUCUGCGGGCGGCGACGUCGGCUCCCCUCAAACGCAUCAGCUGUUGGCGCGACUGCCGUGGCACGGGCUCCUCGACGUCGUAACGAUCGUCGCGGGCUGGAGCGCACGGAUCGACGGUCCCAUGCUUUCCAACUCUCGUUGGACGACCGGCACGUUAUCGAGCUUGACCUCAGAUCAGGUAGGACUACCGCCGAAUUAA